GAUGAAGAACGCAGCGAAAUGCGAUAAGUAGUGUGAAUUGCAGAAUUCAGUGAAUCAUCGAAUCUUUGAACGCACAUUGCGCCCCUUGGUAUUCCAUGGGGCAUGCCUGUUCGAGCGUCAUUUGUACCUUCAAGCUUUGCUUGGUGUUGGGUGUUUGUCCAUUCUCUUGCAGAGGGACUCGCCUUAAAGUAAUUGGCAGUCAGUGUUUUGGUUUUGAAGCGCAGCACAAGUCGCGAUUCAAAGCUAUACGCCCGCUUCCACAAGCCUUUUUCACUUUUGACCUCGGAUCAGGUAGGGAUACCCGCUGAACUUAAGCAUAUCAAUAAGCGGAGGA
rnacentral:misc_RNA from 1 species